rnacentral:rRNA from 1 species
UACGUAGGGUGCAAGCGUUAUCCGGAAUUACUGGGUGUAAAGGGAGCGUAGGCGGCAUGGUAAGCCAGAUGUGAAAGCCCGCGGCUUAACCGCGCGGAUUGCAUUUGGAACUAUCAAGCUAGAGUACAGGAGAGGAAAGCGGAAUUCCUAGUGUAGCGGUGAAAUGCGUAGAUAUUAGGAAGAACACCAGUGGCGAAGGCGGCUUUCUGGACUGAAACUGACGCUGAGGCUCGAAAGCGUGGGGAGCAAACAGG